CAGCCUGCCCAGUGACAAAGUUCAACGGCCGCGUACCCUAACCGUGCGAAGGUAGCAUAAUCACUUGUUCUUUAAAUGGGGACUCGUAUCAACGGCAUCACGAGGGUUAAACUGUCUCCUUUCUCCAAUCAAUGAAACUGAUCUUCCCGUGCAGAAGCGGGAAUUUUUAUAUAAGACGAGAAGACCCCAUGGAGCUUUAAACCCAAUUACACUUCUAUUUUUUAUUUCACCAUAACCGCUAGGACUCUGUACAUCUGGUUUUAGGUUGGGGUGACCGCGGAGCAUAAAUUAGCCUCCACGAUGAAUGGGAAUUUAUCCCCUUAUUUAAGAGCCACACCUCUAAAAAUUAACAUNNUAACAUAUAGUGAUCCAUUAUUUGAUCAACGAACCAAGUUACCCUGGGGAUACAGCGCAAUCCACUUCAAGAGCUCCUAUCGACAAGUGCGUUUACGACCCUCAUGUUGGUUCAGGG
rnacentral:rRNA from 1 species